rnacentral:rRNA from 1 species
GAAAAGUUUUAUUCUAGCUGAUAAAUUUAUUAUAAAUAUAUUUUACAUGUAAAUUAUUGUAAGAUUAAAUAAUUAAUUCUUAAAGAUAAAUUAUAUAUUUUAAUUCACAGUAUUUAAUUUUAAUUUUUUUUUAAAUAAAUUUAGAAUUAGUAAUAUUUUAAAGUAUUGGUUAAUAUCGUGCCAGCUACCGCGGUUAUACGAAAAAUGCAAAUAAAUUAUUUUAGUAAAUAGUUAAUUUUUUUUUAUUUAAAUUUAAUUAAUAAAUUAUUAGGUGAAAUUUUAAUUUAUUGAAAUUUUUAUAUAAUAAUAUGAAACUAUGAAAUUUAAAUAUUAAACUAGGAUUAGAUACCCUAUUAUUUUAAAUGUAAAUUAAGUUAUUAAAGUAGUAAUAGAUAUAAUCUUGAAACUUAAAGAAUUUGGCGGUGUUUUAGUCUAUUCAGAGGAACCUGUUCCGUAAUCGAUAAUCCACGUUUUACCUUACUUAAUUUAGUAAUCAAUAUGUAUACCGUCGUCAUUAGAAUGUCCUAAAAGGGAAAAAAUUUUCUUAAUAUAAAAAUAUAUUUGAUGUCAGAUCAAGGUGCAGUUUAUAGUUAAGUGGAAAUGGGUUACAAUAAUUAAAUUUAUAUGAAUUAUAAAAUGAAAUUUUUAUAUGAAAGUGGAUUUGAUAGUAAAUAAAUAAAUUAAAAUUUAUUGAUUUUAGCUCUAAAACAUGCACACAUCGCCCGUCGCUCUCGUUAUUUAAAAUGAGAUAAGUCGUAACAUAGUAGGUGUACCGGAAGGUGUAUCUAGAAAGA